GUGCGGUUGGCGUAGUGGUCAACGCGUUCGCUCAGUAAACUGUUGUCCUAACAGAGCCUACUUGGGUCUGCAUAGUCAGUGCCCUUACAGGUGCCAGGGGAGAACAUCUGACAGCGAAAGAACCCGGGUUCGAACCCCGGACCGCACA
rfam:Neurospora crassa OR74A linkage group I, whole genome shotgun sequence.